ensembl:lncRNA
UUGUAAUGAUAGGGAGAAGAGAUCGCUCAGUGAGUGCACAGGACGGAUAUUAGCAGAUCAAAUAAAGCGAUAGAUGGCACAUAAAAAACAAUGAAAAUUUAGGAGGAAUAAAACAUUAAAAAAAAGGGAUACGAUCAGGCAAGAUGUAGGACCCAUGUAAAUAUUGGAGCAACUUUUCAGCGGUGGAGAAACUCAAGGAGCGGGAAGGCCUGGAAUCGGACACCGAGGUUGCUUUGUUUCUUAUUGAUAGCUGAAUGUUGACAGUGAUCAAGUCUUCACAGAAGUGCAGGGGCAAUUCUGCCAGCAGGGGCUAAACACUCCAGCUCUGAGGAUGGUGCAUUCGAGCUGAAACAGUGAACUCAUCCAAACAUCAGCCCUCUCUGACCAUCUCCGGCAAACAUCCAUUAUCCAGAGCCAUCCGCUUCCUCAGGCUGAUCUAUGGAGGAAAACUGUUGUUGUUUUCAGCAUGCCAGGAGAUGAGUUUCUCUCUGCUCUUGAACAACAGGAUUGGACAUCAAGUGUUGCUCUUAAGGUUAAUUAGAAAAAUUAUCUCAUCAGAGGAGCACCCCUCCUCCUCCUGCCAGAGACAUGCUAAUCUCUGACAAGUCUGCUCUGGGUCUCUCUCUGUCAGAGUAGAAUACAUGGAGAACCCACGGCCCCUGAAAAGAUCCGCUUCGCUGAGCCACUUUGACUGGGCUGCUAAUAAAAAGACAGGAAAGAGUGUGACCUGUUUGGACUCACUCACAACCACUUUGUAUCCCACCUAUAUCUGUCACCUCAUCUCCCUCUCUCUCUUUCUAUCCCUCACUCAGUCUCUUUAUCUAUAUGUGGCUUUUGGUCUUCUCAGAUUUCUCUUUUUUUGGUACCUGUUCCUUCUGUGCUGCUCAGCUAAUGUUGGCACAAAUGAAGCAGAACGGCUUAUUUUCUCUCUCCCGCAUCACUCUGGCCUCUCUUGCUUGACCGUAUCUAUUUUUUUCCCUCUUUCUCUUUUAAACUGAAGUUCCUUUCUGUCCAAAUGCUUUUAAUCUUUUACCUCUUCCAUGCCUUUCAUUUUAUUUUCCUCUCUUUUGCAUCUUGCUACUCUUUCAGUCAGAUUCGUCUUUGCUCCCAUUAAUAUAAAGGGAUUGAUCGCCAAAAAAAAAAAAAAAAAAAGUAAUUAUGCUGUUAUUUUUCUUCUGAUGUGAUCUCAUUAGUAAGUGUAGGUAAGCAUACUUAAAAUGUGUUUCUACGUUUGUGUACGAUUGCAUAAACACUGAAAUGAACAUUAUAUAUAAAUACACACAAUGUAUUUACAGCAUCUUCAUGUAAUUAAUACAUUUGAUCAAUGUGAUAAAUCUUAAUUGCUAUCACAUUUAUUUAAUACAUUUAUGUAGUUUGAUAUUAUAACAGUUUUAUUUUGUGUGAUUUCUGGUGUUUUAUAUCAAAGGAUUCCAUCAUUUUACUUAAGCCUAAAC